GGGCUCAUAGCUCAGCUGGCAGAGCGCCUCAUUUGCAAUGAGGAGGUCGCCGGUUCGAAUCCGGCUGAGUCCACCA
rnacentral:tRNA from 1 species